rnacentral:tRNA from 1 species
UGGUUCCAUAGCUCAGUUGGUUAGAGCGGCUGCCUGUUAAGCAGUAGGUCCCUGGUUCGAGUCCAGGUGGUACCGCCAC